GCGAGAAUAGCUCAGUUGGUAGAGCGCAACCUUGCCAAGGUUGAGGUCGCGGGUUCGAAUCCCGUUUCCCGCUCAA
rnacentral:tRNA from 1 species